UUACGAAGGUCCAGCCUGCCCGGUGACAAAGUUUAACGGCCGCGGUACCCUGACCGUGCGAAGGUAGCAUAAUCACUUGUUCUUUAAAUAGGGACUUGUAUCAACGGCAUCACGAGGGCUGUACUGUCUCCUUUCCCUAAUCAGUGAAACUGAUCUCCCCGUGAAGAAGCGGGGAUUUAACUAUAAGACGAGAAGACCCCAUGGAGCUUUAAGUCAGUAUUUAACCCACGCCCAUACACCCUAUAAGCUAUUAAGGCUCUAAAUACCCACUUUAGGUUGGGGGGACCGCGGAGUAUAAUCUAACCUCCACGACUAAUGGGCCUCGCCCUUAUCCACGAAUUACAACUCUAAGAAUCAAUAAACUGAUGUUUUAUGAUCCGAAAAUUCGAUCAACGAACCAAGUUACCCUGGGGAUAACAGCGCAAUCCACUUCAAGAGUCCUUAUCGACAAGUGGGUUUACGACCUCGAUGUUGGAUCAGGGUAUCCCAGUGGUGCAGCCGCUACUAAAGGUUCGUUUGUUCAACGAUUAAAACCCUACGUGAUYAAR
rnacentral:rRNA from 1 species